GCCCCCGUAGUUCAACGGACAGAACGAAGGACUUCUAAUCCUUAGAUCGAGGUUCGAUUCCUCGCGGGGGCACCA
rnacentral:tRNA from 1 species